rnacentral:rRNA from 1 species
CAGUCGCCACGGGAAUACGAAGGGUGCAAGCGUUAAUCGGAAUUACUGGGCGUAAAGCGUGCGUAGGCGGUUUGUUAAGUCUGUUGUGAAAUCCCCGGGCUCAACCUGGGAAUGGCAAUGGAUACUGGCAAGCUAGAGUGUGUCAGAGGAUGGUGGAAUUCCCGGUGUAGCGGUGAAAUGCGUAGAGAUCGGGAGGAACAUCAGUGGCGAAGGCGGCCAUCUGGGACAACACUGACGCUGAGGCACGAAAGCGUGGGGAGCAAACAGGAUUAGAUACCCGGGUAGUCCCUGUCUCUUAUAC